AAACAGGCCCUUCGGCACACCGUGUCCACGCUAACCAUCCAUCAUCCACUCACACUCGUUCUAUCUUACCUGUCGGACUGGCCCUCACCUCGUGAACCAUGUUCAAGGUGCUUCAUUACUCCAGUCAUGGCGUAAACAAGGUGGGAUUCAGAAGCUGUACUGGAAUAGGUUCCGAGAAGAUUCGGCUUCAGAACAGCCCAGAGGAAUGACUUGGCCUGCUGCCGUAACUUUAACACCUUGACCUUUAACUUUGAAUAAACUUUCGGGGAAAAGAGCGUGAAUCAUCAACGAUAUAAAACUGGCAAUAUAAAAAUGUCAAAAGUUGAAAAUAUGUAAUAAUGUAAACAAGUCUUGUGAGUGCUUUUAACAUUAAAGACAUUCCAGUCACCA